rnacentral:rRNA from 1 species
GUGGGGAAUAUUGGACAAUGGGGGGAACCCUGAUCCAGCCAUGCCGCGUGUGUGAAGAAGGCCUUUUGGUUGUAAAGCACUUUAAGUUGGGAGGAAGGGCAGUAAGUUAAUACCUUGCUGUUUUGACGUUACCAACAGAAUAAGCACCGGCUAACUUCGUGCCAGCAGCCGCGGUAAUACGAAGGGUGCAAGCGUUAAUCGGAAUUACUGGGCGUAAAGCGCGCGUAGGUGGUUCAGCAAGUUGAAGGUGAAAUCCCCGGGCUCAACCUGGGAACUGCCUCCAAAACUACUGAGCUAGAGUACGGUAGAGGGUAGUGGAAUUUCCUGUGUAGCGGUGAAAUGCGUAGAUAUAGGAAGGAACACCAGUGGCGAAGGCGACUACCUGGACUGAUACUGACACUGAGGUGCGAAAGCGUGGGGAGCAAACAGGAUUAGAAACCCUUGUAGUCC